CGGCGUGCCUAAUACCUGCAAGUCGAGCGGACCGACGGGAGCUUGCUCCCUUAGGUCAGCGGCGGACGGGUGAGUAACACGUGGGUAACCUGCCUGUAAGACUGGGAUAACUCCGGGAAACCGGGGCUAAUACCGGAUGCUUGAUUGAACCGCAUGGUUCAAUCAUAAAAGGUGGCUUUUAGCUACCACUUACAGAUGGACCCGCGGCGCAUUAGCUAGUUGGUGAGGUAACGGCUCACCAAGGCGACGAUGCGUAGCCGACCUGAGAGGGUGAUCGGCCACACUGGGACUGAGACACGGCCCAGACUCCUACGGGAGGCAGCAGUAGGGAAUCUUCCGCAAUGGACGAAAGUCUGACGGAGCAACGCCGCGUGAGUGAUGAAGGUUUUCGGAUCGUAAAACUCUGUUGUUAGGGAAGAACAAGUACCGUUCGAAUAGGGCGGCACCUGACGACU
rnacentral:rRNA from 1 species